UUGACUCAUUCUGACAAGAGUAGUUUCAAAUAUCUUCUCCUCAAUUUUGUAAGGUAUAAACUCUGUCAUUUGUUCUGAGACACUUAAAGUUCAAUCAAAAGGCCCUUCAUAAGUCACAAUUCUGCAAAGCGGGUGUCAGUGCCCAUCCGAUUGCCAGGGAAGCUCAAAGUUACUUAAGAACCGCACGAAGUUGACUAGGUGGGAGUGGUUCAGGUGAUCAGUUACCGGUCACCAAUACUGCGAGUUCAAUGCCGAUGUCUUCUAACGUCAUGCUGGCCUAGUCUAGUACUCGUUGAGCAGCCCGGAAGGCUUCGUCAACCAUCGCCGUCAUAAUCGCUUGACUUUCUAAUGCGUUUAAUACACUCAGAACAUUCUGUCUCAA